rnacentral:rRNA from 1 species
UACGAAGGGUGCAAGCGUUAUUCGGAAUCACUGGGCGUAAAGGGUGCGUAGACGGUAUGUUAAGUUUGUUGUUAAAGGCUUCGGCCUAACCGGAGUACUGCGAUGAAAACUGGCAAACUAGAGGGUGAGAGAGAGAAGUGGAAUUCCCGGAGUAGCGGUAAAAUGCGUGGAUCUCGGGAGGAACACCAAUGGCGAAGGCAGCUUCUUGGCUCAUUCCUGACGUUGAGGCACGAAAGCGUGGGGAGCAAACAGG